rnacentral:rRNA from 1 species
UACGUAGGGGGCAAGCGUUAUCCGGAUUUACUGGGUGUAAAGGGAGCGUAGACGGAAUUGCAAGUCUGAUGUGAAAAUCCGGGGCCCAACCCCGGAACUGCAUUGGAAACUGUAUUUCUAGAGUGUCGGAGAGGCAAGUGGAAUUCCUGGUGUAGCGGUGAAAUGCGUAGAUAUCACGCAGAACUCCGAUUGCGAAGGCAGCUUACUAAGCCAUAACUGACACUGAAGCACGAAAGCGUGGGGAUCAAACAGG